UUCGGAGCACUGUUAGAGAGAGAGAGAGAGCUUCACCAUACUUGAACAGAGUCCGUAUCUGUAGACUCAUUGUCCCAUCCAUAUGUACGCAUUAAAAUUAAAUAAGAAUUAAAAAAAAAAAAAUCUCCACAGCUACAAAUAAUUUUCUGAGCAGUUCAUUUGAUUUUUAUCAAUCGAGUGAAUAAUUGAAGAGUUGAUGGUAUUAUCUCAAGUUUUGUGAAGAAAUGGGGGACGGUCAGAAGACUUAUUCUUCUAAUCCAAAAGAUUACGAACUCCUAGAAGAGGUUGGAUAUGGCGCCAGCGCAACUGUUUACAGAGCAAUCCAUUUGCCUUCCAAGGAAGUGGUGGCCGUCAAGUGUUUGGAUCUCGAUCGAUGCGGUAGCAAUCUGGAUGACAUUCGAAGGGAAGCUCAAAUACUGAGCUUAAUUGAUCAUCCUAAUGUGAUCAGAGCAUUUUGCUCAUUUGUUGUCGACUCCAACCUUUGGGUGGUGAUGCCUUUUAUGGCCGAGGGUUCUUGCCUACAUCUCAUGAAGAUAGCAUAUCCUGAUGGAUUUGAAGAAUCAGCAAUUGGGUCUAUCUUGAAGGAAACUCUGAAGGCUUUGGAAUAUCUUCAUCGGCAUGGCCAUAUUCAUCGUGAUGUGAAGGCAGGAAAUAUAUUAAUGGAUAGUACUGGGGAGGUAAAACUUGCUGACUUUGGUGUUUCAGCAAGCAUGUUUGACAAAGGUGAUAGGCAGCGCUCGAGGAAUACCUUUGUAGGAACUCCAUGCUGGAUGGCACCGGAAGUUUUACAGCCAGGAACUGGAUAUAAUUUCAAGGCUGACAUUUGGUCGUUUGGCAUAACUGCACUGGAGUUGGCUCAUGGACAUGCACCAUUUUCAAAAUACCCUCCAAUGAAGGUUCUGCUUAUGACCAUACAGAAUGCCCCUCCUGGGCUUGAUUAUGACCGAGAUAAAAGGUUUUCUAAGUCUUUCAAAGAACUGGUUGCAAUGUGCUUGGUGAAGGAUCAAACUAAGAGGCCAACUGCAGAGAAAUUGUUAAAACACUCUUUUUUCAAGAAUGCCAAGCCUCCAGAGCUUUCUGUGAAGAAACUAUUUGCUGACUUGCCACCACUGUGGAAGCGUGUGAAAGACCUUCAGCUCAAAGAUGCUGCACAACUUGCUCUGGAAAGAAUGCCUUCAGCAGAACGAGAAGCUAUAUCACAGAGCGAGUACCAGCGAGGUGUAAGUGCAUGGAACUUUGAUGUUGAGGAUUUGAAGCUUCAGGCAUCACUUCUGCAAGAGGAGGAUGAUAUGCAAGAGAUCAAGGAGGAAGAUGGCUCGAAUCUGUACAUGAACCAUAAGGUGGUAUCUAGUUCUGGACCUGAAGUAGACAAACCAGGGACAUCAACCAAUAAUACUUACAGAGAGAAGAUAAAUGGUGACGAGGUUCCUCUGGUUGACAGUCUGAGCAUGAAGGAAAAAGUCGUUGAAAAUGAUAUACUAGACUCUGAUAAUCAGGGGAAAACUGGAAUCAACGAAAGUGUAGCUAAGACUAGAAUUCAUAUGGCGAAGCCUCGUCAAACUCAGAGUGGACCACUAAUGCCUGGUGUUGUGCUUAGUAAUUCGAAGUCAGAAAGAACGCGAAACUUAGAAAGAUGUGAGAUUGAAAAUCAUCAAGUGGUUGAGAGAGCUCAACAAGUACGAAAAGCACCCAGCUUUAGUGGACCUCUAAUGCUUCCAAACCGAGCUUCAGCAAACAGUUUAUCAGCCCCAAUCAAAUCUUCAGGAGGAUUCAAAGAUUCUAUUGAUGACAAAUCAAGGACCAAUCUGGUACAAAUAAAAGGGCGGUUCUCAGUAACAUCUGAAAAUGUAGAUCUUGUAAAGGAUAUUCCAUUAUGUACAAGUUCUCGACGAAAUUCUCAGGGAUCACCGCUAAGGAAGUCCGCUAGUGUUGGAGAUUGGAUGUUUGAUUCUAAGCCAAUGCCUAAUAAUCAGCCCGCUAAGGAAAUCAGCAACAGCAAUGUAUCUGCCUCAAUUCUCAUGCCUCAUCUUCAGAAUCUUUUCCAGCAAACAUCAAUUCAACAAGAUCUUAUAAUGAAUUUAUUGAAUAGCUUGCAACUAGUUGAGGUAGCAGAUGCACCUCAAAAUGGGAAACUGCCUCCCUUACCUCGUGGAUCAGAAAAUAAUGGAAGCGUUGAUACAGCAAUUUCUGAAAGGGAACGUAUGCUGCUUAUGAAGAUCACAGAACUUCAAUCGAGACACUUGCAGGAUGAUAAGUUUGACCGAUGAAUUAAAUGCAGAAAGAAUAAAAUAUAUGCAAUUACAACAGCAGCUAAAUGCUGUAUCUGGUCGGGUUGAGGAUGGAGACAGAAGAGAAGGAGAUUCUUGAUUAGAUUUGUUGAAAUGUAAAGCGACAGCACCCUGUAAAUUUGGAAUCAUGGUUUUUUCCAAUUGUUCAAUAAACCCUCAGUAGAAGAUUCCAGCCUUGCCCUGCAACAAAUAAGGAGAAUGAUCAGCCGUAGAAGAUACAAUUUGGUUCAUUUAUUUAAUGAGUAUGAAGAAACCCAGCCAUCCAUUUUGCAGAAUCAUGUGGACACCUCAGUCUGAUUUGCAUUAUUUGGUUGAACCAGUCACCGUGAGAGAGACAUUGAAUUUGUAUUUUGUAGAUUAUAUAUAAUAUAUGCAACAAGAAACUGUUAAACUUUGUUAAUAGAUAAGUUAUGACAGACAAUUAGCUUGGUUAUACUCUCCUUCCAUUUUUCUUAUUAUCCGAACCAUCUUGUUCCUUA